rnacentral:piRNA from 1 species
UGCCACUUUAGGAAGUUUCUCCCGG